rnacentral:rRNA from 1 species
AUGCGAGUCAUUGUAGUAAUACAAGGCAGACGGCUCAGUAACGCGUANNNNNNNUACCCUAUGGACGUGGAUAACCUCGGGAAACUGAGAAUAAUACACGAUAGAACAUUAUGCCUGGAAUGGUUUAUGUUCCAAAUGAUUUAUCGCCGUAGGAUGGGACUGCGGCCUAUCAGUUUGUUGGUGAGGUAAUGGCCCACCAAGACUAUUACAGGUACGGGCUCUGAGAGGAGUGGCCCGGAGAUGGGUACUGAGACACGGACCCAGGCCCUAUGGGGCGCAGCAGGNGAGAAAACUUUGCAAUGUGCGAAAGCACGACAAGGUUAAUCCGAGUGGUUUCUGCUANNGGAACCUUUUGACAGUCCUAGAAACACUGUUGAAUAAGGGGUGGGCAAGUUCUGGUGUCAGCCGCCGCGGUAAAACCAGCACCUCAAGUUGUCAGGAUGAUUAUUGGGCCUAAAGCAUCCGUAGCCGGCUCUGUUAGUUUUCGGUUAAAUCUAUACGCUCAACGUAUAGNCUGCCGGGAAUACUACAGAGCUAGGGAGUGGGAGAGGUAGACGNNACUCGNNAGGAAGGGGUAAA